CCGCAAAGCGGUUGUAGCGCCUGAUAAGUAAGAUUCCUCUUAUACCUGAAUGUUCUACUGCAAGAAGUGUGGCGCGCUGGAGUUACAUGGGACGAUGAAAUUCCGCAUAACCUACAAGAAAAAUGGAAGGAAUGGUUAGCCUGCUUACCUCACCUGCAAACGGAAAAGAUCCCACGAUGCUACCAAUCUCCAACUAACGCGACGGGUGGCAUAAUACAACUUCACGUGUUUGUGUACGCCGGAAAGGAUGGCUUUGCCGCGGUGGCUUACUUCCGCUUUGAAGCAGAUGGAAAACGGGAAGUAGCUUUGAUUGACGCCAAAACUCGAGUGGCUCCGAUCAAGUACACCUCCAUUCCUCGGUUGGAGUUACAAGCGGCCGUUUUGGGUGUUCGUUUGAUGAAGGCAACAGAAGCAGCUCACCGUUUGAAAGCUGAUCGACGUUUUUUCUGGACGGACUCGAAGGACGUGUUGUGUUGGCUGAAUUCGGAUCAUAGGAAAUAGCACACCGAGUCGGCGAGAUCUUGGAAAACUCAUCUGUACAGGAAUGGAACUGGGUACCAACGAACGACAAUGUAGCUGACGAAGGUACUAAAUGGGCGAACCUUCAUCGACACUUCGCUACGGAAAACUGGUUCAAAGGACCUAGCUUUCUGCAACAGCCGGAAGAGGAUUGGCAUCUUCAAUCGUUCGAGCACGCGGCGACAGAAGAGGAAAGGUGUCAGACAGAUAACCUGCAUGGUCAACUGAGUCCAGUACUUCAGUUCGAGAGAUUUUCGCUGUGGAAGCGGUUACAUCGCGCUGUAGCAUAUGUUUGGCGCUUCAUCAACAAUGCAAGACAGCCCACAGAGUCUCGAACAUACAGACCCCUUACUCACACCGAAUAUCAACUGGCUGAGCGAUCGAUCUUCAAAGAGGUCCAAAAACAAGAAUUUCCGGAUGAGUACCGUCUAUUUCUUGAAGAAAAAACAGGCGUAAAACCUCUUUCACCAUUCCUUGACUCCUCG